rnacentral:rRNA from 1 species
UACGAAGGGGACUAGCGUUGUUCGGAAUCACUGGGCGUAAAGCGCACGUAGGCGGAUGUGUCAGUCAGGGGUGAAAUCCCGGGGCUCAACCUCGGAACUGCCUUUGAUACAGCACGUCUCGAGUCCGGAAGAGGUGGGUGGAAUUCCUAGUGUAGAGGUCAAAUUCGUAGAUAUUAGGAAGAACACCGGUGGCGAAGGCGGCCCACUGGUCCGGUACUGACGCUGAGGUGCGAAAGCGUGGGGAGCAAACAGG